CAGCUCGUCAUGCUAGAGCAUGUGCUCCCCAACGAGAAGACAAUGAUGCAUUCGUAUGUCAAUCCAUAUCAACUUUCGGUGCCAUUGACUGCGCCUACCAUGGUGACCACAGGUAACGGGGAAUCAGGGCCCGAUUCCGUACAGGGACCCUGACAGCUACCACAUGCAAGGAAGGCAGCAGGCGCGAAAAUUACCCACUCUCGACCCAGGAAGGUAAUGA